AUGAGAGAAUGAGAUCUGUUUACAAGCUCAAUUGGUCCUUCCAGCAGCAAGGCAAUAAGGCAUAAAAAAAAAAAAAAGUUUUGGUUCCUGUUGGUUGUCAGGUGGAAAAACUGAAGGCCCUGGGGAUGAGACCCUUACUAUGCACCGGGACCUAUUCAAAUACUAGCCAGGUCUGGGGGACAGAAUGUGUGUUCCCAUAUGACCUCAGACCUGGCUAAGAACAUAAUCAAACAGAUUCAGUUUCUGUAUAGAAACCUGUUAGAGGGAUGGACUCCACCAGGAGAGGAGCCAGCGAAAAAAGACAGACGUAAGAAAAUUAAUUUUGUUUUUAAUGUAUACAUUUUGUGUAAUGAUUAACUGUUAAUU